rnacentral:misc_RNA from 1 species
GAGAUUUUAAAAAGGAAGGUGGAUCCGUUUUUUUUUGCUACUUUCUGUAGAGUUAAACCUUUUUAUAUACUUUCUCCGUCAAUAAACAAAAGAGAAACGUGUUUAUGCAUAAAACACAGCAAUUUUAAUUUCAAAUGUGUAGCACUCAGACGGCGCAACAUCAUUUUAUAUCCCAAUUCCUACGUAUUGAUAAAGGACAAUAUAUGCAACAUAAAAAAUUAUAACUGCGUGUAUGGCAAAAGUUUACAGUGCAAAUGUAAAAAAAAAUAAUUAAAAUUUAGAAGACCCAAAAAUGACAAUAGAAUGGAAAAUGUGGGAGACAGUUCAGCAUACUUACAAAAAGAAGACAGCAAAUGAAAAAAAAUAUAUCUAUGUUAACGAAAAAAACUACAAAAACGAAUAAAAGUGGAACUGUUCAAAUUUUAGUUGACGCUUUGGAAGCAGAUUUUCCUACACAAGGACGACCAAACCCUUCAACUUCAUAAAUGACAAAUCAAUAUUAUCGCAAACAAAAUCUUUACGGACCGUAGUAAAACUUCUAGUUCCUUGUACACGAUGCAAGAUGGGUAUGAGCAUAUAAUUAUGAACUAGAAAGAUGUAUGACGUGUAACAGAUAUUAUUGUCGGCGUUGCAUUGGUGGAGAGGCAGAUAUGGACUUCAUAAUUUGUGCCUCAUGUUUUAAUUCAUUUUGAACAGCUUUUAGUGGGUACAGUUUCCCGUUUUUAGAAAUGGGAGUAUUAAUAAACAUUGAAAAGUUUUUGUCGAAGUCUGACUUCCGCUUUUAUCUAAGAAACAAGCUGCCUUGGCCUUGGAUAGUUUAUUAAGUUUAUUUGAUAUCUCAUUUGUGAUUUAACCUGCGAACUGCCUGUGAACUUGGUGUUCCAAAGGUAACGAAAUGGAUAAAAUGUGGUCUAUUUCUUCUAAAGUAUUGAUCUUAUAAUUAAAGUUUUGUGUUCUCUGUCUGUGUUUUCAUUCAAAAUAUUUAAAAUUUAUUAAAAAGGUUUGCAAUCUU